CAGGCCACUUCUCAGUUCAGCUCUGCGACUCAUUUCAGAAUCGAGAGAGAGAGAGAGAGAGAGAUAGAGAGAGGGAGAGGGAGUGAAGAGAGGACGGUAAUGGCGUCGAAGGAGAACCCGGAGCAUGAUCCAACGAGCACGGGGACGGGGGACGAGACCAUUGUGGCGGCAAGGAGGAAGCGGUUGCGGCGCGUGAGCUUCGCGGACGUGGAGAUAACGUCCGUCCACAUUUUCAAGCGGGAUGAGGACUACUCCGACUCCACCCCUCCUUACGACCCCAAGCCCGACGACGGGGCGGGGAGGCUGACUGUGGGUGACGGGCUGGGGCUCUUUAGGGAUUUGGGAGACCACAGCGACGACUCCAAGGAGCUCAACCAUGAAAGGGAGGACGAGGAGCAGGACGACAGCGAGGAAGAGGCGGUCGGUAGGGGUUCCUUCUUCAGGCCGAUCGAGUCGCCGUCCCCUGGGAGCAGUACUGUCGGCUCUGCCGUUUCUAACGAUGAAGACAAUUUCUUCGGACCUGUGUCAGCGAGCUUUAUCAGACCUGGAAGGUUAUCUGAUUCUGCCGCGUCGGAUGAAAAUCACGAUGUUACUAUGGAUUCUACUGCAUUCUCGAUGCACUUCCGAAGCCUUGCAAGAUCUGAAUCUGGAGGAGAUUUGAAGACGCCAUCAAGGGCUGGUCUUGGUUUCGAGGAGAAGACCCUGACCCAGGAUGCGGCAGAAGAGACAAACCAGGGAAGUUUGAUGGUCAUGACAAAUGCCAGGAAAUUGAAUCAAGAGUCUUCCCUUCCUCUCGAUAAAUUUAGGAGUGGUGGAAAUGAUUCGAACGAAAUGAGCCUUGUCGGAGAAAACCAGCAUAGAUAUGACUAUGGGAGGCUUUCUCCCUCUUUGGAUGCCCUCUUGGCAGGAGGCAAUGAGGAUUUGCAUUGGGCUUCUGUUUCACUUCUUGCUGACCUCAACUCAUUAUCUGGUUUUGAUGAAAACCGAAGUAGCGAAAAGGAUUUGAUAGACUUUGGAGAUGAAGCAAUUGUCGGAAGUACUCAUGAUACCGAUGAGGUGAUUUCUGCAGCUGAUGUGGAGGUACAGGAAGCUAAUCCUAUUCAACAGGUUAUGAAAGAUGUCUCCAACAGAAAUGACUGGUCAGCCAGUAUGCCUGAAUAUAAGUCCAUCAGCACUCCAGAACAGCUGAUAAAGGGCCAUAGGCUAAUUGAGACCGAAGUUGAAAUGGAUGGACUAACUAAUGUCAGUAGAGGCACGCCGCAAAGUAAUGUCAGUAGAUUUCUUGAGUUAGAUGUCACUGCUCCACAGGGAUCAGCAUAUGGCAGAUCAUCUGAAGAAUACCCAAAAGAAAACUUCCCUGGGAAUAGAAUUCUGAGAGUUGAUAAGUCUGAUCGAAUGACCGAAUCUCCAUUCUCAGGGUCUAUAUCCUCGAUAUCUGCUAAACGACGUGAAAUUUUUUCAUAUGCAGCCACUUCACCAGCAAAGUUUUCAAAUUUGACGGCUUUACCAGCACAGUCAGCAUCAUCCACAAGUAAGGAAAGUGCAAAGCAUGGUUUAAGUUUGUCAUCAAUUCAGAAGAGCAUUUCCAGGUUUAGAAAUCUGGAUACUUCUCCAAGUACGUCUGCUGUUAAGAAUGGGAUUGAAACAUUGAAACUCCAGAUAUCAAAUUACUUGUCAGCAAAUUCUCCCCACAACACAGCUCGUCUUGAAAAUAGCAUAGAAGUGCCGAGCGAGGGUGCACAUGCUCCUGAUGAUGCAAAGGAAGUAGACUAUAAAAGAAUGUUCUUUGCCGGUAGCAAUGGAAUUGCGGGCCCACAUAACAUCGAGACAUUUGGUAAUUUGGAACAAAAUCGAGAGAUCACAUUAGCUAUGGAACCUGGAGAACCUCAUGUUGAUCUCUAUACAAGUAUUUCUUCCAGCAAUGACAUUGCUAAAGAUGUUCCAGUGAUGAUUUCAUCGCCCAGUAAAGUUUCUUGGUCAGGUCCAAUCUCUGAUAAGUUUCCGAAUAUAGCAUUGCGUGCUUCUGAAGUUGGUUCAUCGUUGAUGAAUGUAGCACUUGAUCACAGAAAAGAUGAUGGAGAUGCUAGUGUAUCCUCUGAGCUCUUGAUUUCUCCAAUGAAAGAAACCAAUCAGAAGCCAUCAAUGGUAAAGUUCUACCAUGGGGGCAUAAGCGCACAGUUAAAUCAGCAGCAUCAACUGAAUGAUUUAACUGGUGUUAACUCUGAAGAAAACCAAACUUCUCGAGAAAUUUUUACCUCAGCUGGAUGUUCGACUCCAAGUACUGACAAGUUGCAGUUGUUUUCUUCUGGACUGAGAACUGAAGACCAAGAGAAUUUGGAUUUAUUGCCUGUAAGCGCUCUUAAAGAUCUCCCAAGUGAAAACAAUGGAGCAGACAUUCAAGGGACCGUGCUGGCUGGAGAUGACUCUGUGGUGUCAACUUCACUGUGUCCUCAUGGACGAACAGAAGAAUCACCAUUCGAGAAGAGCCCUCCGAAGAAACCAGCGCAGAGUCCUAGGAAGAUAAAAUUGACUCAAAGUCCUUCCUUGAGAGAGCUUUUACAUUCUCUGCCUGCUGAUGUCCAGUCCCAUCCUAGGGAAGAGAUAGCAUCUUCCCCAUCAAAAUUAAAUUGCAUUGGUAUGAUAGACUGCCAGAAGGAGUCAUGUUAUUCUGAAAGACCAUUUGCUGCAGAUGAUUGUAAAGAAUCCUCCAGUAGGAAAAGGAGGAGUGAGGAAGUAGUUCCUGGCGAUGAAUGCCAUACAAGUAAGAUUUCUAGAACAACGAGGAGUUUCGAGGGUGGAAAAAGCAAUAGACAUGAUACCAAUGGCUACAUAAAACCUUCAAAUGAGAGAAAAAAGCUUGCAUCAGAUGUUCCACCAAGGGACAGGAAAGAUGUUUUGACAAAGUUCUCACAAGACACAGAAAAAAUGCUGAGUCCAUCACAUGAUCGACUAGCUUUAAGAGCAAUUGGCAUGUUUGAAGAGACACUGGAUUACCUUCAGAAAGUCAGAAACUACGAUAUCCUGAGCUCUGAUAUACAGUCUCAGGGAUUACCUGAUCAGUUUAGCAAUGCUUCGCAGAGAAGAUCAGCAGAAACAUUACUGUUGUUGCAGAAGUUAGUGUAUGAGAAGGCAAGGUUGCAGUUAUGUAUGGUGAGGCAGGAUAGAUUGCAGGAAGUGGCAAAAAAAUUGAGUGCAGGGGUCGAGGAAUCACAAAAUCUAAGACGAAUUUACAUGCCUGUUGAGAAAGGCGAUCAACCUGACCAUGAUUGUCAUCUCUGCUCAACCAACUCCAAGCUCAAGAACAAAGAUGCAUAUUAUGCCGUUACAUCAAUGAGACAAGAGUGUGAUGUGUUAGAUGAAAAAGUUAGGAGCUUAAGCAAUUCAUUACUUGCAUAUUGCAAAAUCAAAGAUGGGAGCAGCACCAAUGAUAUGGCGUCACUUGAGGACUCCCUGAGAAAAAGGAUGUAUAGCAGAUUAGUGCGCCAAAAUUUGCAGCCCUGGGAGAUCGCUGAGUUUGGGAGUAGCAGCAACCACCACAAUAUCAGCCUGGACUAUCUUGGGUUUAUUUGCCAGAGCGUCUCGGUAACUGCAUAUCCUGUUCCUAGUUUCACUGUUUCAAAUGAAUUGGAAGAUACAAUGAUCGAAAGGGCAUUUCCAAACAUGGAUGCUUCCAAAGCAUUUGCUUAUGUUUUCAGUGGUGAGGCAACUAAGGAAACGAUCAGUUCCAGAAGAUUGGCCCAUAAAACACAGACAACCCAUUUUCUUCUUCGAAAUCUUUUGGAGGUGGUUGAGGAAGUACAACAGGCUAGGCUAGAGAUAAAGAAUUUGAUAUGCACUACUUUUCAUUCUUCAAGUGGGGGGCAUCUUGAUUUGCUACUUUCUUUCCUCGAUUUCAACAGCGACCAGAAGGUGACAGUAACCCUGGACAUGACAUGUUUGAAUCGAGGGAUUUACCCUUAUGAAGUCCUUCCAGAUCAUACAAAGGUAUGCACGAACAGGAUGCCUCAAUCCCUUGGGAUGGAAAUUAGAGCUGCAGCUAGGUCUCUUCCUUUUGGACACCAGAGAAUCAUGAGACUGAGCAGGUGUGUCUCCAAAUUGGUGGAAAGUUCAACCAGUUGAACCAUGUCAAGCAACAGAAGAAGGAUCUCAACAGGUGAGUCCAUUGUGAAGGUAGGCAAUGAUUCAAUGAAGAGUCGCUGAAGCAAACUGCAAUUGACAAACUACAUAUGCUUGUCAGGAUUUUGCCUGAGAUCUGCUGCACAGCUCAUCACAACAGUUUACUGUUGCAUCUUCAACUCUCGAGGGACGCUUGGAGCAAACUGAGAGACGUCUCUAUGUAAGUUAAAUGUCUUAGUGCAGAUCGAACCUUAAUAUCGAAUGCUAUGUGCACAUCUCCUGUGUGCAAAUCCACGAGUCAUUGGAUGUAAGACGUUAUGUUGCAGAUGACUUCCCAUGUGAUAGGUCACAAAUUCGGAUUUGCCCUCACCAAAUCCACUUAUUCUCCUCCUUUGUUCUACCAGUUCUUUGCGCUGAAAAAGGAACGGGUCAAUUUAGUAAUGUUGGUAGGUGAGGCUGUGUUGAGUUGAAAUCUGCAGUCGCGCCUCUCCCA